GACGAACGCUGGCGGCGUGCUUAACACAUGCAAGUCGAACGGAAAGGCCCUGCUUUUGUGGGGUGCUCGAGUGGCGAACGGGUGAGUAACACGUGAGUAACCUGCCCUUGACUUUGGGAUAACUUCAGGAAACUGGGGCUAAUACCGGAUAGGAGCUCCUGCUGCAUGGUGGGGGUUGGAAAGUUUCGGCGGUUGGGGAUGGACUCGCGGCUUAUCAGCUUGUUGGUGGGGUAGUGGCUUACCAAGGCUUUGACGGGUAGCCGGCCUGAGAGGGUGACCGGCCACAUUAGGACUGCGAUACGGACCAGACUCCUACGGGAGGCAGCAGUGGGGAAUAUUGCACAAUGGGCGGAAGCCUGAUGCAGCAACGCCGCGUGCGGGAUGACGGCCUUCGGGUUGUAAACAGCUUUCGACUGUGCCGAAGCGUGCGUGACGGUAAUGGGUAAAGAAGCACCGGCUAACUACGUG
rnacentral:rRNA from 1 species